UGAGCCGGCCGGGCGACCGCGUCGCCCCGAACCACCACACGCGUUGUGGCUGGCGGGGACCGAGGAAAGUCCGGACUCCACAGGGCACGGUGGUUGCUAACAGCAACCCGGAGCGAUCCGCGGGCAAGUGCAACAGAAAGUACACCGCCAACCCAGGCAACUGGGUGGGUAAGGGUGAAAGGGUGCGGUAAGAGCGCACCGGCAUGCACAGUGAUGUGCGUGGCCAGGUAAACCCCACCGGGAGCAAGGCAAGAACCGCAGCCGUAAGGCUGGGGUCGUCGGACGUGAUGAGGCUGCCCGCCCAGUCCGAAGGUAGCUGCUUGAUGCGCCCAGCAAUGGGACGCACAGAUGGAUGGUUGCCGCCCGCGCCUCUUACGGGCGCGGGUACAGAAUCCGGCUUAUAGGCUGGCUCAUUCG
rnacentral:RNase_P_RNA from 1 species